GCGGAAUCUGAAGGAAGUCGGCGGCAAACCUCCGGUCUGAGGAACACGAACCUCAUAUGAGGCUCGCGAUAGUUGGGUGAGUCUGCUAUGCAAGACGAAGCCCUUGUUGCCGAAGGCUAUCGAGAGUAAAUGAGGCAGAUAGGUGGAGGGAAAGACAGCGUC
rfam:Tumebacillus flagellatus strain GST4 Contig090, whole genome shotgun sequence.